GAUAACCAAAAAUGGUUGCAGGAUUUAAAGUAGGGUCGGUAACGACACGGACAUCUUGGAUGUUGACAUCGUAAAGUCCACCAAAAAACAUCGCUUUUCCUGCUAAAAGCAAUGCACCUAUGCCAAGAAAUAAUAGAUGAUGACCCAGGAUCAUGCCUAAUUGCUUGGGAUCGCCCCA
rnacentral:antisense_RNA from 17 species